rnacentral:rRNA from 1 species
UACAGAGGGGGCAAGCGUUAUUCGGAAUUAUUGGGCGUAAAGGGCGCGUAGGCGGCUUGGCAAGUGGAUGGUGAAAUCCCUCGGCUUAACCGAGGAACUGCCAUCCAGACUGCUUUGCUUGAGGCCGGGAGAGGUGAGUGGAAUUCCCAGUGUAGCGGUGAAAUGCGUAGAUAUUGGGAGGAACACCAGUGGCGAAGGCGGCUACCUGGACCGGUUCUGACGCUGAGGCGCGAAAGCGUGGGUAGCAAACAGG